GAAGGGCUGUAGCUCAGUGGCAGAGCAACCGCUUUGUAUGCAGAACCUCCCAGGUUCAAUCCCCGACAUCUUCA